rnacentral:tRNA from 1 species
AGUUAAUGAAGCAAAUCCAGGCCUUGCAAAAGAUCUAAACCCUUUUUACAGAGGUUCAACUCCUCUCUUUAACU